rnacentral:ncRNA from 1 species
CGACCUCAGAUUAGGUGGGAUUCCCCGCUGAAUUUAAGCAUAUUAGUAAGCGGUGGAAAGAAACCAACAGGGAUUCCCUUAGAAGCUGCGAGUGAACAUGGGAUUAGCCCAGCACUGAAUCC